GGGGGGGGGGGGGGGGGGGGGGGGGGGAGGCAGGGCGGGGGGAGGGGGCCGGCGUUGGUGGGGUGCUCGGGGGGCGGGCGGGUGAGGAACACGUGAGUAACCUGCCCUGGACUGUGGGAUAACUUCAGGAAACGGGGGCUAAUCCCGGAUAGGCGCCCCUGCUGCAUGGUGGGGGUUGGAAAGUUUCGGCGGUUGGUGAUGGACUCGCGGCUUAUCAGCUUGUUGGUGGGGUAGUGGCUUACCAAGGCUUGGACGGGUAGCCGGCCUGAGAGGGUGACCGGCCACAUUGGGACUGAGAUACGGCCCAGACUCCUACGGGAGGCAGCAGUGGGGAAUAUUGCACAAUGGGCGGAAGCCUGAUGCAGCAACGCCGCGUGCGGGAUGACAGCCUUCGGGUUGUAAACCGCUUUCGCCUGUGACGAAGCGUGAGUGACGGUAAUGGGUAAAGAAGCACCGGCUAACUACGUG
rnacentral:rRNA from 1 species